rnacentral:rRNA from 1 species
GCGCACCAGGCGCGAAACUUCACACUGUGCGAAAGCACGAUGAGGGAAUCCCAAGUGCUUGCACGUAAGUGUAAGCUGUUUCUCUGUUUAAAACGCAGAGAGAGUAAGGCGUGGGUAAGACGGGUGCCAGCCGCCGCGGUAAUACCUGCAGCUCCAAGGUGGUGACCGUUAUUAUUGGGCCUAAAACGUCCGUAGCCGGUUUAAUAAAUGCCUAGGGUAAAUCGUGUAGACUUAACUA